UACGUAGGGUGCGAGCGUUAAUCGGAAUUACUGGGCGUAAAGCGUGCGCAGGCGUUUUGCUAAGACAGAUGUGAAAUCCCCGGGCUUAACCUGGGAACUGCAUUUGUGACUGCCCGGCUAGAGUGUGUCAGAGGGGGGUAGAAUUCCACGUGUAGCAGUGAAAUGCGUAGAUAUGUGGAGGAAUACCGAUGGCGAAGGCAGCCCCCUGGGAUAACACUGACGCUCAUGCACGAAAGCGUGGGGAGCAAACAGG
rnacentral:rRNA from 1 species